GCUGGGUGUGGUAGCACACGCCUGUAAUCCCAGUGACUGGAGAGGCUGAGGCAGGAGGAUUGCAAGUUCCAGGCCAGCCUAGCAAACUUAGUAAGACUCUGUUUCA
rnacentral:sRNA from 1 species